GCGACUGGAGCCACCACUGGUCUUGUGCCUGCUGUCCACUGCCGCUAAAGCCUGCUGCUGCCACUCAGGCGCUCUCUCUCUCUCUCUCUCUCUCUGUCCCGCCGCUCUCUCCACCCAGUCUUGGGACUGCUGGCUUUAAGAAUUCCUGCUACGACACUCGAUUCAGCCAGGAGGUGACACCAAAUGCAGCCAGAAACCACUGAUGAAGAGGUAUAUUAAGCCCUGCCUGGUUAACCUCUAGCAAGGUUAUUAGAGAAUUGGGAGAGGCUCAAAUCAGCAUCUUGCAUGCGGUUAUCAAACCUUUGUGAAGUCUUGGCUGGAUUGUGAAGGAUAUCUUUGAAAAGUGUUUUACAGUCUACCAGAUCUUGUAUGUGAGUGACUGCACAGCAGAAGAGGGGAGUCUUCUCAGUGAUUAAGUAGAGACGGGGUCUCGCUCUUGCCCAGGCUGGUCU